rnacentral:rRNA from 1 species
UACGGGGGGAGCAAGCGUUGUUCGGAUUUACUGGGCGUAAAGGGCGCGUAGGCGGCCACCGCAAGUCGACUGUGAAAUCUCCGGGCUUAACCCGGAAAGGUCAGCCGAUACUGCGGGGCUAGAGUGCAGAAGGGGCAACUGGAAUUCUCGGUGUAGCGGUGAAAUGCGCAGAUAUCAGGAGGAACACCGGUGGCGAAGGCGGGUCUCUGGGCCGUAACUGACGCUGAGGAGCGAAAGCGUGGGGAGCGAACAGG